UAAGUGGUGGAAAUUAAACCAAAUGGGAUAUCUUUAGUAAUUGCGAAUGAACAAGGAUAUGCUUAGCUUGACAAAUGGAGYUAUUGGCUUUGAAUUGUAUUUGUGGAAUGUAUUACCAACAGAGGUGCAGGUGCCAGCCUAUUAAAUAAAGCGUCAAUGAGGGUGAGAAUCCUGUUUGUCAUGUGCAGCCCUUUGUGCACGGUGUAUAUUUGCUGAGUCACACUCCUUGGCAUUGGAAUGCAAAGUGGGUGGUAAGUUUCAUGUACAGGUAAACAUGCAAUUGAGACUGAUAGCACACAAGUACCAUGAGGGAAAUAUGAAAAGGACUUUGAAAAGAGAAUUAAAUGRGUUUGUAUUUGCUGAACACAAAGUAAACAGACUUGAUUUGCUUGGYGGGAGUGUUGCACUUGCUUGACAAGAGCUUUGGGCUGUGGGUGUAAUGAUUCUUUCUUUGCAUGCCAGUUUCUAUGUGUACAUCUGAUUACCUUUGCACAUGAAUGAUAAGUCUCCUGUGGGGGGUGGAUUGCAUGUGCAUGUAAUGAUUUGUGUUUUGAUAAAUGUGUMUGGUGUAUGUGUGUGUGUUCCUGUGCUUGGGGAUGCUUCCUUCCUUGGACUUACAAGCCCUGACACACACAUGCUGGCAAAAUGCUUCUGCUUGACCCG
rnacentral:rRNA from 1 species